rnacentral:rRNA from 1 species
UACGUAGGGGGCAAGCGUUGUCCGGAAUCAUUGGGCGUAAAGCGCGUGUAGGCGGCCAGAAAAGUCCGCUGUGAAAACUCGAGGCUCAACUUCGAGCUGUCGGUGGAAACUUUCUGGCUAGAGUCCGGAAGAGGAGAAUGGAAUUCCUGGUGUAGCGGUGAAAUGCGCAGAUAUCAGGAAGAACACCCGUGGCGAAGGCGGUUCUCUGGGACGGUACUGACGCUGAGAUGCGAAAGCAUGGGGAGCGAACAGG